rnacentral:lncRNA from 1 species
AGAUGCCUCGUUAUAUAGUUCAUCUACCGUGAAGAGAUUAUCAAAUGGGACUCCAUCCUGCAAAGGUGGAUUUUCAAGAUGGUGAGCAUUAACAAUACUCAUAGAUUCAUAAUUUUCUACCCUCCUAAAUUUUUCAUGAUGACUAAAACCCAUCAGAUCGUCACCAGGGAGGUGCUGUUGCUGCACAUGAAAAUAAGAAGGUUGAACAUCCAUAGGCUCAUAAGUUUUUACGCUUUGUAAUAUGUAAUGAUCACUUGAAACCAUCACAGGAUUCGUGUCGAGCUGCUGCUGCUGCUCAUGAAAAUAAGAAGGAGAAGGCGACACGUACACUUGCGGAUCUUGUUGUUGUAACUCAUGUUCCUCAAACCUCAUGUUAGAAUCAACCUGUUGUUGUUGUGGUUU